GGAUGUGAGGGCAAUCUGGCUGCAACUUCUGUUACCCUGAUGAUCUCCAGUGUUGAUUUGGCUGUUCUAGCUGGCUAGAUGGGUGUCCCCAUCCUCUCUCAUUGCUCUGUCUGUGUCUCUCCUGAAGCUUGCUCCGUUGAAGAGGAAGACCUUCCCUUAUAGAGGAGGACCUUUCUUCAGUCAAGGGUAUAUGAGUAGCUGCAUGCCCCUUCUAGAACCUGCAAACAAGCUCUCAAGGUCCAUUUGUAGGAGAAUGUAGGGUAGUUAAACUUCCAAGACUCUAAACACAUUCAAAUGAGGUACUGCAUGUGGAAGUCCACCUUUU
rnacentral:snRNA from 1 species